UAGCUCACUAGUCGAGAGGUCCUGCGCCGAAAAUGUCCGGGGCUGAAACACGACACCGAAGCUUAGGAAUUCUAACGAAUUGGUAGAGGAGCAUUGUUAGCGGAACGAAGCCAUACCGGAAGGAGUGGUGGACUGCUAAGAAGAGAGAAUGCCGGAAUGAGUAGCGAGAAUGAAGUGAGAAUCUUCAUGGCCGAAUAUCUAAGGUUUCCAGGGUAAAGCUGAUCUGCCCUGGGUAAGUCGGGGCCUAAGGCGAGGUCGAAAGACGUAGCCGAUGGACAACAGGUUGAAAUUCCUGUACUGCGAUAUAUCAGAAAUGUGGGGACACAGAAGGAAAGUGUGAGCCGGGAAAGGAAAGACCGGUGCAAGCACAGGAGGAGAGAUGCAGGCAAAUCCGCAUCUUAAUCCAAUGGUGUUACGCGGAGCGAACAAAAGUAGCGAAGCACAUGGACCAUCUGUCGAGAAAAGCCGCUAUUGUGUAUACCGUACCCGUACCGUAAACCGACACAGGUGGAUGAGGAGAGAAUCCUAAGGCCGGCGGGAGAAGCAUUGUUAAGGAACUCGGCAAAAUGACCCCGUAACUUCGGGAGAAGGGGUGCUCACGCAAGUGAGCCGCAGAGAACUGGCCCAAGCAACUGUUUAGCAAAAACACAGGUCUAUGCAAAACCGAAAGGUGAGGUAUAUGGGCUGACGCCUGCCCGGUGCUGGAAGGUUAAGAGGAGAGGUUAGAGCAAUCGAAGCUUUGAAUUGAAGCCCCAGUAAACGGCGGCCGUAACUAUAACGGUCCUAAGGUAGCGAAAUUCCUUGUCAGGUAAGUUCUGACCCGCACGAAAGGCGUAACGAUUUGGGCGCUGUCUCAGCUGUAGACUCGGUGAAGUCUUAGUACCUGUGAAGAUGCAGGUUACCCGCGACUAGACGGAAAGACCCCAUGGAGCUUCACUGCAGGUUGAUAUUGGGAUUUGAUGCAGCAUGUACAGGAUAGGUAGGAGGCAAAGAGAUGGAUACGCCAGUAUUCAAGGAGCCGCUGUUGGGAUACUACCCCUGUUGUAUUGGAUUUCUAACCGGACGACGUAGAGCCGUUGACGGGACAGUGUCAGUCGGGCAGUUUGACUGGGGCGGUCGCCUCCCAAAGAGUAACGGAGGCGCCCAAAGAUACCCUCAGCUUGGAUGGAAACCAAGCGCAGAGUGCAAAGGCAAAAGGGUGUUUGACUGCGAGACCCACAAGUCGAGCAGGGACGAAAGUCGGGCUUAGUGAUCCGGCGGUGCUGAAUGGAAAGGCCGUCGCUCAACGGAUAAAAGCUACCCUGGGGAUAACAGGCUGAUCUCCCCCAAGAGUUCACAUCGACGGGGAGGUUUGGCACCUCGAUGUCGGCUCAUCGCAUCCUGGAGCUGAAGUCGGUUCCAAGGGUUGGGCUGUUCGCCCAUUAAAGCGGUACGCGAGCUGGGUUCAGAACGUCGUGAGACAGUUCGGUCCCUAUCUGUCGUGGGCGCAGGAAAUUUGAGAAGAGCUGUCCUCAGUACGAGAGGACCGGGAUGGACGCAUCAAUGGUGGACCAGUUGUCACGCCAGUGGCAUAGCUGGGUAGCUAAAUGCGGAAGGGAUAAACGCUGAAGGCAUCUAAGUGUGAAACCCACUUCAAGAUGAGAUUUCCCAUUGCGCAAGCAAGUAAGACCCCUUAAAGACGAUAAGGUAGAUAGGUCAGGAGUGUAAGCAUGGUGACAUGUUAAGCGGACUGAUACUAAUAGGUCGAGGGCUUGACCG
rnacentral:rRNA from 1 species